AAUGGCUUGUUUUCAUUCUCAGUUAGAAUGAAAACACAUUUUGAAAUGUCAGAAUAUCCCACAGAAUGGGAAUUCCGAGUUUUGAAUAUCUCUACUGCAGUUUUCAAAAUCAUAACUGAAACUAUGUAUGAAGGAAUAAUGGAAAAUACUCAUAUACACGCUUGGAUUCGAAAUUCACUAUAAUCUCCUGAGAAAGAGACAUAGAUAUUCCUGACAAGAACCUAUCAAUGAAAUUGAAAGGAAAACAAAGCUGUGGGGCACUUAGCUGCACAAUAUCAUUGAGGUUGAGUUUGCCAUGAUUCACAAAAGGAUUGGAUAUCUAGAUGGAUGACAAUAUCCAUUGUUACACAUGAUGGAAUGAAAAGUUAUAAGCAUAGCUCUUUGACUGCCAAGGCCAAAAGGUGCAUCACUGCUGGCUUGCUUUUAAAACCUCUGUCAAAAAAAAUCCAUGUGAAGAAUCACCCCUCCAAAUAGUAAAGGAGAAAGCUUGAAAUAAGGUCAGGCUUUGAUGAUCUGUCAUGCAGCCCAUAGCACCUCAUUCGUAAUGGAAUUAUUUGCUUUGUAUUGAAACGAAAAAGUGAAACUACAUAUCUGAAUCUGGCCCAGGAUUUCACGGUGUUCCUAUACAAAGGAAAAACAGCCCAAACAUCAUUGGAGGUCCCUGUGAAGCUGCACUUGCUGUCUGCGGUAAUGG